GCGGCCAGAAACUGUACAGGGCAUAUUUGUUAACUUCAAAGACUUGUACUAUUACAAUGGGAACAAGCUUCCUUUUGCUGCUGCUCAAAUUGGCCAGGCUUUCAGAAAUGAGGUUCGAGAUCACCUCAUGAGAAAUCACAUAGCAUGGAAGGUGUAAGGUUCUACUACCUCUAAUUGUAACUUUGAUUGAUGCUGCCUUAUUUUUGGUGCCAAUG